CAGCUCUAUAAAUGCUGAGAGUAGCAUAUCUUCAAGUCAAUCCUCAGAAGCUUCUUCAAUGGAAACAGAUGGAAAAAGACUCGCGACAAAGACGUAUCGUUCCUGUAAGCCAUGCCCUCACGACAUGAUGAAGAAGUACAAGAACCACGGCAUCAAGUGGAUAUGUGGCGGCUACCAGCGUGCGCGCAGGUCCUUCAAGAGUGACUGUAUGAUGAAGUAUAGGAACUGUCAGGAUGGGACCAUGUUCGUGAAAGUUUACGAUCGCCGCUGCAAAGACGACCCUCACCACGGAAGGCACUGGUUUUAUAUUUAUAAAACUUGAAAAUUAUAGCUGUUUUAUUUAAAUGC